rnacentral:rRNA from 1 species
GAUAAACGCUGGCGGCGUGCCUAACACAUGCAAGUCGAACGAGAAGUUAACUUCUGAUUCCUUCGGGGAGAGGAAGUUGGCAGAAAGUGGCGAACGGGUGAGUAACGCGUGGGUAAUCUACCCUGUAAGUGGGGGAUAACCCUCCGAAAGGAGGGCUAAUACCGCAUAAUAUCUUCUCCCCAAAAGAGAAGAAGAUUAAAGAUGGCCUCUAUACUAUGCUAUCGCUUCAGAAUGAGCCUGCGUCCUAUUAGUUAGUUGGUGGGGUAAUGGCCUACCAAGACAACAAUGGGUAGCCGGUCUGAGAGGAUGUACGGCCACACUGGGACUGAGAUACGGCCCAGACUCCUACGGGAGGCAGCAGUGGGGAAUCUUGCGCAAUGGGGGAAACCCUGACGCAGCGACGCCGCGUGGAUGAUGAAGGCCUUUGGGUUGUAAAAUCCUGUUCUGGGGGAAGAAACCUUAAGGGUCCAAUAAACCCUUAAGCUGACGGUACC